AUGAGCCGAGAUGGAAGGAGAGGGGAGCUGAUCCUGCAGGUUUUCGAGCCGGACACGCUGCCGAGUGAGGGGCAGUCAGAGGUUUUUGUACGACGACUCAAUCAGUUUGUAUCACUGUGGUACACGUUCGGUGGAGGAACCAGACUGGAGUUUGGAAGUGAUGCUCUUCCCACCCUGACAGUGCUGCCCCCCUCCAAUGAGGAGCUGCAGCAGGGGAAGGCCACCCUCAUGUGUCUGGCCAACAAGGGCUUCCCCUCAGACUGGAGUCUGUCCUGGAAGGUGGACGGCAGCAGCAGCAGCAGCAGCUGGGAGGAGAACAAGAGCCGAGGAGUGCUGCAGAAGGACGGCCUCUACAGCUGGAGCAGCACCCUGAGGCUCCCUGCAGACCAGUGGAGGAAGGUGGGCUCUGUGACCUGUGAGGCCACCCAGGGCUCCCAGUCUGCAGUCACAGAGACACUGAGGAGAGACCAGUGUUCCUAGUCCUGAGCUGAUUCACUCACAGUAUAGAUUAAAUCUGUCACUGUUUUAAUUCUCUCUCUUCUUGUUAUUAACUAUUUCCAAUGAAUCAUCAUCUUUGUUCUUAAUU